rnacentral:rRNA from 1 species
UACGGAGGAUCCGAGCGUUAUCCGGAUUUAUUGGGUUUAAAGGGUGCGCAGGCGGAAUAUUAAGUCGGCGGUGAAAGUUUGCAGCUUAACUGUAAAAUUGCCGUUGAUACUGGUAUUCUUGAGCGUAUAUGAAGUAGGCGGAAUUUGUAGUGUAGCGGUGAAAUGCAUAGAUAUUACACAGAACACCGAUUGCGAAGGCAGCUUACUAAUCCAUCAUUGACGCUGAGGCACGAAAGCGUGGGGAUCAAACAGGAUUAGAUACCCCGGUA